GUGCUCGCUUCGGCAGCACAUAUACUAAAAUUGGAACAAUACAGAGAAGACUAGCAUUGCCCCUGCACAAGGAUGACAUGCAAAUUCGUGAAGUGUUCCAUAUUUUU
rnacentral:snRNA from 1 species